AGAGUUUGAUCCUGGCUCAGGAUGAACGCUAGCGACAGGCCUAACACAUGCAAGUCGAGGGGCAGCGGAGAGGUAGCAAUACCUCUGUCGGCGACCGGCGCACGGGUGAGUAACACGUAUGCAAUCCACCUGUAACAGGGGGAUAACCCGGAGAAAUCCGGACUAAUACCCCAUAAUAUGGGCUCUCCGCAUGGAGGGCUCAUUAAAGAGAGCAAUUUUGGUUACAGACGAGCAUGCGCUCCAUUAGCCAGUUGGCGGGGUAACGGCCCACCAAAGCGACGAUGGAUAGGGGUUCUGAGAGGAAGGUCCCCCACAUUGGAACUGAGACACGGUCCAAACUCCUACGGGAGGCAGCAGUGAGGAAUAUUGGUCAAUGGUCGGCAGACUGAACCAGCCAAGUCGCGUGAGGGAAGACGGCCCUACGGGUUGUAAACCUCUUUUGUCGGAGAGUAAAGUACGCUACGUGUAGCGUAUUGCAAGUAUCCGAAGAAAAAGCAUCGGCUAACUCCGUGCCAGCAGCCGCGGUAAUACGGAGGAUGCAAGCGUUAUCCGGAUUUAUUGGGUUUAAAGGGUGCGUAGGCGGCACGCCAAGUCAGCGGUGAAAUUUCCGGGCUCAACCCGGACUGUGCCGUUGAAACUGGCGAGCUAGAGUGCACAAGAGGCAGGCGGAAUGCGUGGUGUAGCGGUGAAAUGCAUAGAUAUCACGCAGAACCCCGAUUGCGAAGGCAGCCUGCUAGGGUGCGACAGACGCUGAGGCACGAAAGCGUGGGUAUCGAACAGGAUUAGAUACCCUGGUAGUCCACGCAGUAAACGAUGAAUACUAACUGUUUGCGAUACAAUGUAAGCGGUACAGCGAAAGCGUUAAGUAUUCCACCUGGGGAGUACGCCGGCAACGGUGAAACUCAAAGGAAUUGAC
rnacentral:rRNA from 1 species